rnacentral:rRNA from 1 species
CGCGGCCUAUCAGCUUGUUGGUGGGGUAACGGCCCACCAAGGCUUCGACGGGUAGCUGGUCUGAGAGGACGAUCAGCCACACUGGGACUGAGACACGGCCCAGACUCCUACGGGAGGCAGCAGUAGGGAAUCUUGCGCAAUGGGCGAAAGCCUGACGCAGCAACGCCGCGUGAGGGACGAAGGCUUUCUGAGUUGUAAACCUCUUUCAGCAGGGACGAUUGUGACGGUACCUGCAGAAGAAGCACCGGCCAACUACGUGCCAGCAGCCGCGGUGAUACGUAGGGUGCAAGCGUUGUCCGGAUUUAUUGGGCGUAAAGAGCUCGUAGGCGGUUCGAUAAGUCGGAUGUGAAACCCCCAGGCUUAACCUGGGGCCGCCAUUCGAUACUGUCGUGACUAGAGUCCGGUAGGGGACCAUGGAAUUCCUGGUGUAGCGGUGAAAUGCGCAGAUAUCAGGAGGAACACCAGCAGCGAAGGCGGUGGUCUGGGCCGGCACUGACGCUGAGGAGCGAAAGCGUGGGGAGCGAACAGGAUUAGAUACCCUGGUAGUCCACGCCGUAAACGUUGGGCACUAGGUGUGGGGCCUAUUCAACGGGUUCCGUGCCGCAGCUAACGCAUUAAGUGCCCCGCCUGGGGAGUACGG